GAUGAACGCUGGCGGCGUGCCUAAUACAUGCAAGUCGAGCGAACAGACGAGGAGCUUGCUCCUCUGACGUUAGCGGCGGACGGGUGAGUAACACGUGGAUAACCUACCUAUAAGACUGGGAUAACUUCGGGAAACCGGAGCUAAUACCGGAUAUUAUAUUGAACCGCAUGGUUCAAUAGUGAAAGAGGGUUUUGCUGUCACUAAUAGAUGGAUCCGCGCCGAAUUAGCUAGUUGGUAAGGUAACGGCUUACCAAGGCAACGAUGCGUAGCCGACCUGAGAGGGUGAUCGGCCACACUGGAACUGAGACACGGUCCAGACUCCUACGGGAGGCAGCAGUAGGGAAUCUUCCGCAAUGGGCGAAAGCCUGACGGAGCAACGCCGCGUGAGUGAUGAAGGUCUUCGGAUCGUAAAACUCUGUUAUUAGGGAAGAACAAAUGUGUAAGUAACUAUGCACGUCUUGACGGUACCUAAUCAGAAAGCCACGGCUAACUACGUG
rnacentral:rRNA from 1 species